UACGUAGGGGGCAAGCGUUAUCCGGAAUCAUUGGGCGUAAAGCGCGUGUAGGCGGUUCCGUAAGUCCGCUCUGAAAGCCCAGGGCUCAACCCUGGGAGGCGGGUGGAUACUACGGAACUGGAGUACGGAAGAGGAGAUUGGAAUUCCUGGUGUAGCGGUGAAAUGCGCAGAUAUCAGGAGGAACACCAACAGCGAAGGCAGAUCUCUGGGACGGUACUGACGCUGAGACGCGAAAGCGUGGGGAGCGAACAGG
rnacentral:rRNA from 1 species